ACCAUGUUUUCUUUAGCUCUGCUGCUGCUGUUGGCAGCUGGAUGUGUGAAGUGUGAACAGUUGACACAGCCAGCCUCUGUGACUGUGCAGCCAGGUCAACGUCUGACCAUCACCUGUCAGGUCUCUUAUUCUCUUAGCAGCUACUGGACAGCUUGGAUCAGACAGCCUGCAGGGAAAGGACUGGAGUGGAUUGGAAGCGGAGCUGGAUCCAGCACAUCCUACAAAGAUUCCCUAAAGAACAAGUUCAGUAUCUCCUUAGACUCUUCCAGCAACAGAGUGACUCUAAACGGACAGAAUGUGCAGCCUGAAGACACUGCUGUGUAUUACUGUGCCAGAGAUCCACAGUGAGAGACAAUAAUGUGAGAGUCAUACAAAAAGUACUUCCUCUUUUUACCACCACCACAAUCGACAUUUACUUGC